UGUGCGCCACGGAGGCGUCUCCCCGCCAUUUGGCAUGCCAUGCGCGUCUGGUGCGCUGGAGACUGCCUGUCAAACGCCUGUGAGUCGGUGGCGCAGCCAGGGACCCUACGGAGCGCCAGAUGGGCCAUUAAGCAGCAUCAGUCUGAGAGUGAGAUGUGGGGGAGGGCCGUCUAUGUUCACGUCUCAAGAGGCGGCUCAGAUGAGGACUGCAGGGUUGGCAUCACCGGUGUGUGAGUGAACAAAGAACAUCCAAGACCCCUUUUCAAGAUGAGCUGGUCAAACGCAGCCCCAGCACCCCUGUGACCUGUGAGCUCCCAGCAGCUUCAAACAGAGCUCUGCUGUUUGCUUCUUGAUAAAAUGAUCCUCUUUGUAUUUGUUUCCCUGAGCCAGCGUCAUAACCUGCAAUGCCCCGGCCAUAUCUGCUAGUUUGCGGCAUGUCUGGGAAAAAUAACAAACAGUCUUCUCCAUUAUUUCCACAAACGGGGAACGAAAGGUCCUCGCCCGCCAUCCCCACGAGAGCCUGUAUUGAUUACAACAAUGCUUCAACUCAAGACAAGACCACUCUGGGGUCACUGCUAUUUCCAUCAGAAAGUUUGCCAGUUUAAAUUUACACAGCUCUCUCGUACUCUUCUCCUCUCUCGCCUCCAGUGAGACACACAGGAGAGCUGCAGAGUUUUCAGAUAUCAGAGUGCCAGUUGUAUAACGGAGAUGCUCACCCUUUGCUCUGCAAGUGGGUGUUGUGGAGCUCCAACUAUAGGCUCCUCCAACUAUAAGCUCCCCACUAGAGAGCCUCGACCUGCUUAGAGGGGUCAAAGCAUCAUGAGAGAAGAGAGAGAGAGAGAGAGAGAGAAAGAGAAAGAGAGAGAACGGAACAAACAGAGAGAUGGAGAGCAAGAGAAGAAUAAGGGACAAUGGGAGAUGAUGAGAGAGUGAGAAGUGAUGCCUUUGUUUCUUUUAUGUAUUUCUCUGAGGUCUGCCGUGCUACUGUUUGAGUACUUGAGGGCCGCUGAAUCACUGCAGCCCCCAGGCCCUUAGAUGUCAUUACAGCCAGACUGUCUCCUAGCUGGAGAAGUUUUAACAAGGAAGGUCAUCAGGAGGAAAACAACUUAUCUUCGUGUAUAACUAUGUCUGUUUGUUUGCCUGUCAGAGUGCCUGCAGUCUAAUAUACAGCUAUACAACAUACUGUCAGACAAUACGGCAUCUGAAUGACCACUGGGCAGGAAAAAACUAACCAAGGAUAGUUGAACUUUUAUGAACACCUAAGAAGACCCCUGAAGUAUCAUGACAGCUUCUUAUCCCUACUCUCCUCACUCUGUCCAUGCGAGGCAAUGAAAGUCUGAACAGUGCUGGUCAACCUAAAACUGAGGGAGAAGCACGAUUCCCAUGCUCAUUUUUAGAGCUUUUAACUUUAGAAUUUCACUUACUGUCCACUGGUGCCAUUUCCCCAUGCGAAGAUCUUGUUGUCCACU